rnacentral:rRNA from 1 species
CGGGUGAGUAAUGCCUAGGAAUCUGCCUGGUAGUGGGGGACAACGUUUCGAAAGGAACGCUAAUACUGCAUACGUCCUACGGGAGAAAGCAGGGGACCUUCGGGCCUUGCGCUAUCAGAUGAGCCUAGGUCGGAUUAGCUAGUUGGUGAGGUAAUGGCUCACCAAGGCGACGAUCCGUAACUGGUCUGAGAGGAUGAUCAGUCACACUGGAACUGAGACACGGUCCAGACUCCUACGGGAGGCAGCAGUA